UGAUGACAAUAGUACUUACCUCAUAGA
rnacentral:piRNA from 1 species